ACAAUCCUUGUGGCUAACUGAAAAGAGGAUUUUUGGUUUGGUUAUUUGUGUGUUAUUUUACCCAGCUCACGGCCCAGGAAUCUCAUGUCUCUUCCACUGAGAAAUUCCCUCCUGAAAAUCAAGGGAGGGAGGAUCAUGUGUCAUUUCGUUUUCAAAAAAUAAAAAUAAAAAGGAUGUAAAUCUGACCAGUCACCAGACCUUGCAAUGGCUGACUGUUGACUGGGGGGAACAUAUAAUGCAACGCUGUUGUUGGCAUUUAUAUUUCAUGCACAACUACUAAGUUGGUUCCAUGCUUCUGCCAGUGGCCACCUCCCAACUCAGGACUGCCCACUCAGGCUUGCUGGGAGCAAGUUUGGGUUCAGGUUGUCCCUGUGAAGCUCUUACCCACUUUCCUGGGUAGCUGCUUGGGUAACGCCAGCAGCACUGCUGACCACUUCUGUUAUUUCAGCCCUGAGCUGAGGUGCGUGGAAAUGCCCUGCUGACGCACUUCUCCCAUCUUCAAGAGGCUCGUAAGCACAGUAGGCACUGAGACGGCUUCUCCCACUUAACAGCUUAUAGGAGCCACUUAAAGUCCCCUGCUGUGCCUCUCCUUUCUUCCACCACCACAGUGGCAGAUGUUAAGGCACCGCUGCUUUGUGCUUUUGGUGUUGAGGAACCUUAAUGAGACUUAAAUUAACGUGCAUUAUCAGCAGUGGAUAUCUGUUGCAGGAGGCCUGCCAGGUCUCCACAGAUGAAGUCAGCUCACUUCUGCCUGCCCCAGUAACACGCUGGGAAGGUCAAACAGUGACAGGCUGAGAGCUCAAAGCCAUUCUACCAGGUGAACAUAGUGCUGUACCUGUGCUACUAUCUACUGCUCUUGAACAAGGCUCAUCAGAUGAAUUAGCACUGUUGUAACAUGACUACUGACAGCCCAAAAAGGACCUAAUUCACCUGCAGCAGGUCAGAGCACGUGUCCAUUGCUUGCAUGUGCCUUUAGGGGUUUGCUGGAUGGAUAAAAGCCAGCCACCCCGCAGGCUGGACCAGUAUUUGCAGUUGGGAAUGUGGUGCUGCAGUCAAGGUCCUUCAUGGCCAGGAGCUGGAGAAGCCAAGGCUGAAACCAAACUAAGGGUCAGGGCAAGAAGGUAACCAGCAGAGAUCGACAUCUUGCUGAGCAGUCUCACCCACAAUACUGCCUUUUUCUUAGCCCCAGCAAAGAAGCUGAGGACCACUAAUAUUAGCUUUAUUUUCAUUGGCACUACCCAGAGCUGGAGCCACCCAGUCUUUCCUUGCAGAGCGCUUCUUAAUCAAUAAUAAACAGCUGAUAGUGCAAACA
rnacentral:lncRNA from 1 species